rnacentral:rRNA from 1 species
GAUGAACGCUGGCGGCGUGCCUAAUACAUGCAAGUCGAGCGAACAGACGAGGAGCUUGCUCCUCUGACGUUAGCGGCGGACGGGUGAGUAACACGUGGAUAACCUACCUAUAAGACUGGGAUAACUUCGGGAAACCGGAGCUAAUACCGGAUAAUAUAUUGAACCGCAUGGUUCAAUAGUGAAAGACGGUUUUGCUGUCACUUAUAGAUGGAUCCGCGCCGCAUUAGCUAGUUGGUAAGGUAACGGCUUACCAAGGCAACGAUGCUUACCCGACCUGAGAGGGUGACCGGCCACACUGGAACGGAGACACGGUCCAGACUCCUACGGGAGGCAGCAGUAGGGAAUCUUCCGCAAGGGGCGAAAGCCUGACGGAGCAACGCCGCGUGAGUGAUGAAGGUCUUCGGAUCGUAAAACUCUGUUAUUAGGGAAGAAGAAAUGUGUAAGUAACUAUGCACGUCUUGACGGUACCUAAUCAGAAAGCCACGGCUAACUACGUG